AGCAAGUGAUGUUCAUUCUCACGAUGGUCUUCCAAGCCUCAUAGAGGGCUCUGACGACAAUGCCUACUGGCUUUACUGAUGCUCUACA